CCCAUCUUUUAUAAGAGUAGGAAACAUAAAUAAUCAAGGGGUACCCAUGGCCAAACUCGUGGAUUAAGUAAUCUAGAGAUGUAACAUGUUGGUGAACUUGCAAUUAUUGGUCAAUUUCAAAGGCUGUUAAAACAAGUUGGGUUCAUACCGUGCAGGCGCUCGCGCGAUUGCUAUUUCAAUAUGGCGAUGGACU